AUGACCUCAGAUCAGGCGAGACU
rnacentral:rRNA from 2 species